UACGUAGGGUGCGAGCGUUGUCCGGAAUUAUUGGGCGUAAAGAGCUCGUAGGCGGCUUGUCGCGUCGGAUGUGAAAGCCCGGGCUUAACUCCGGGUCUGCAUUCGAUACGGGCAGGCUAGAGUUCGGUAGGGGAGACUGGAAUCCCUGGUGUAGCGGUGAAAUGCGCAGAUAUCAGGAGGAACACCGGUGGCGAAGGCGGGUCUCUGGGCCGAUACUGACGCUGAGGAGCGAAAGCGUGGGGAGCGAACAGG
rnacentral:rRNA from 1 species